AGCUCCGAUUUCGGCCCUCAUCAUCUGGUCUGCUGUCUCUGCUGCCUGCCACCCUUCCAUGGCUCCACAGUCUCUAUGAAAACAAGUCAUGCUGGACAUCCCAUCCUCCUCCUGGUCUCUAGGCCCAACCUCAGCUGCCCCAUCAUUCCCGCCAGGUGCUGCAGGGCAGAGGGGGCACAGUGCCAAGGCUUCAUGACAGCUAAUGAGGGCUCAGCUCUGCAGAUGCCAGUGCAAGAUACGGAAGAGGACCCGACCGCCUGCAGCCCUAUCAGGACCUCGGGCCCUCAGCUCCCUCCUCCCCGUCUCUGGAGGGGGAACCAGGGCCACAUCCUGGGAAGAGGUUUGGCUCAGGCACUCCUGGCGCAGAUAACACAGUAAUGCACUUCUCGGCUGCCUUCCCAAGACUCCAGUCCCGGCUGCUUCCACAGGGUUAGAUGAUCGAAUUCUGUGGUUUUCCAUACACUGUCAGUCAUUCAGUCAGUCAACAAACAGCACUGCUCUGGCCAGGCUCUGUGGAUACCGAGAUAAACAGGACACCUCUGGGCCUGCCUGGAAUGAGGUCAAGAGCAAGGUCAACUCCUUAGCUCUGCCACCAGCUGUGUGCCAUGGGGAAGCCAUGUCAUCUUUUUGUGCCAAUUUCUUUGUCUGGAUGACGAUAAUGUACCUACCUAGAGUGGUAAGCACUUCGGAAGUAGUUGUUAUUACUAUUUUUCUUGCCCUCAAAUAAUGCCAGUCUGGUGGGGGAGACUGACUUGUAGACAGACUGACGGUCACAAUGCCAGGGGCAGAGCUAGGCACGGUGAACCCUGGGAGGCCAGGGGAGGGGCUGCUCCCUGGCCUGCACUUCACAAACAUUUAUGGAGAAUCACUCUGUGCCAGGCACUGUGCUGGCCACUGGGGACACAGAGAUGAACGGGACACAUUGUCCGCUCAUCCUUGCUCCCCUCCGCCCUCCCUUCUCCCUCCUGGGCCUGGUCCCAGAACCCGGCACCGAGGGGGACACUAAGGACAGAACCAACUGUGCAUGGAAAGGCAUGGCCUGGGGGCCAGCAAUCAGAACACCUGGGUUCAUGUCCACCACUCACAGGCCACCUGACGUCGGGCACUCUCUGACCUCAGUUUCCCCACUGGAGCAGGAGGGAGUUGGACAAGAAGACCCCUCUGGUCCUGACCCACACUGACAGCGGAUGAAUAUGCUCCACCCCCAUAGGGCCCCAAAGUCCAGUCCCAAGGCCGCCCCAGCCUGCUGUCCCACCGAGGCAGUGGGGAGAAGAUGCCUGCCUGGCACUAACUGGCACUGCCCUGCUGAUGAGCUGGCACCAUUUCAUGUGGAACAGGGGGCCUGGAUCUGAAGGCGGGUUGUUGGAAGGGGUGGGGGUGCUAGGGGCAAGGCAGAGCCAGCUCCCACAGGCCCUAUUCAUGGCUCUCUCUGGGGAGGGAGAGAGAGCAGGAUAAUUAAGCACAGGCUUUAUCCAAAUCCCUGACCAAGCCAAUAUCUCACCUUUGAACCAGCAGACCAGGGCUGAUGUCCCUUUGGAAGGAAAACACCAAUGAACCGAACCAUGACCAAGUCUAUGGGCUGGCAUGGGGCCUGGGGGUUGGAGGGUAAAUGAGCUGAUUCCCCACCCACCACCCAUGGACACCUGAGGCCUCGCCACCCUGAGGCCUCUUGUGCCCAUCCCUGUCCCAACUGAAAGAAAAACCACCAAGCUCCAAUCUAGCAAGAGGUUGACCUUGAUCUUGGACUGUGUCCAAGAUGGACCCAGCUUUGGGGUGCGAAUGACAGCAGGACAAGGCAGGUCCUGAGACGAGGGAUAGCAGAGUGAGAGGAUGGACUCCAGCCGGAUUGCCGGGACCCUACCGCGGCUCUGCCACCCAUUAGUGAUGUGAUUUUAUUCAAGCUAUUAGCUCUGUGUGCCUCAGUGCCCUCAACUGUAAAAUGGGAAUGAUGGUACCCACACCUCAUAGUUGUGUUGUGAAAAUUAAAUGAGGUCGUUUAUAUAAAUCCUGGCCCAUGUCUUAGCUGUCAGCUGUACUAUGAAACUCCCCCUCCUUAAAAACACGUGUUUGGGGGCACUAAUGUAUAUGCUCGUUUGACUAUAUUUGAUCCCCUAUGAAUCCCUCUGUAUUUCUGCACUGGAAUCCACCUCCACCGGCAUCUACCAGACCCGCUAUAGUGGAGGAAAGUUCCCGGCAUGAUGCUCCAGGCUAGCCUGGGAUGCUGCAGCUCUUAAGCCUCGCCCUGGAAGUUCUCCCCAAGAGCUAACUGCAAUCCCUCCUAUUGUAACUGAUUCCAUUCUCCUCCUUUGUACUCUCUUAACCAUGCACAUCAUGAAAUCCUUCUAAGAAUCCCUGCAAUGAAGGGUGAAGCAAUACAUGCCUCUGCCCACUCCUGCACUGCCCUGUUCUGUACCGACACCUGCCCUCACCCCCACUCCCAUUCAUGCCAAAAAUGCUGGCCUCCUGCUCCCCUUUCCCAUGAGCU